rnacentral:rRNA from 1 species
CCUACGGGAGGCAGCAGUAAGGAAUAUUGGUCAAUGGAGGGAACUCUGAACCAGCCAUGCCGCGUGAAGGAUGACGGCCCUCUGGGUUGUAAACUUCUUUUGGAUGGGGCGAAAAAACGGGAUUUAUCCUGGACUGACGGUACCAUCAGAAUAAGCACCGGCUAACUCCGUGCCAGCAGCCGCGGUAAU